rnacentral:rRNA from 1 species
GACGAACGCUGGCGGCGUGCUUAACACAUGCAAGUCGAACGGAAAGGCCUGCUUUCCCUUGUGGAUUGCGGGUACUCGAGUGGCGAACGGGUGAGUAACACGUGAGUGAUCUGCCCCCAACUUGGGUAUAAGCCUGGGAAACUGGGUCUAAUUCCCGAUAGGACUGCAGGGUGGUGCCUGUGGUGGAAAACGAUUUUCUAGUGGUUGGGGAUGAGCUCGCGGCCUAUCAGCUUGUUGGUGGGGUAAUGGCCUACCAAGGCGGCGACGGGUAGCCGGCCUGAGAGGGUGGACGGCCACAUUGAGACUGAGAUACGGCCCAGACUCCUACGGGAGGCAGCAGUGGGGAAUAUAGCACAAUGGGCGGAAGCCUGAUGCAGCGACGCAGCGUGGGGGAUGACGGCCUUCGGGUUGUAAACUCCUUUCGACCGCGAGGAAGCCACCUGGUUGGAAGGGUGGUGACGGUAGUGGUAGAAGAAGCACCGGCUAACUACGUG